GGACACAGUCCCUGCAGGUGAGUGCAAGAACCAAGCCUGGAGUUCCCUGACUGCACCACAGAAAAGCAAAUCCAGCUGCUUUUUCCUCAACUUUGGCAGAGCUUUGCCGAUUUGUUUGCUCACCCUAGAAGACUUCUUGGAUACCAAUGAUUAAAUAUGAUGGGAUAA